AACGAACGCUGGAGGCAUGCCUUAUACAUGCAAGUCGAACGCGAAAGUACCUUCGGGUAUCAGUAGAGUGGCAAACGGGUGAGUAACGCGUGGGAAUAUACCUUAUAGUACGGAAUAGCCUCGGGAAACUGGGAUUAAUACCGUAUACGCCCUUAGGGGGAAAGAUUUAUCGCUAUAAGAUUAGCCCGCGUCAGAUUAGCUAGUUGGUGGGGUAACGGCCUACCAAGGCAACGAUCUGUAGCUGGUCUGAGAGGAUGACCAGCCACAUUGGGACUGAGAUACGGCCCAAACUCCUACGGGAGGCAGCAGUAGGGAAUAUUGGACAAUGGGGGAAACCCUGAUCCAGCAAUGCCUCGUGAGUGAUGAAGGCCUUAGGGUUGUAAAGCUCUUUUAGUGGGGAAGAUAAUGACGGUACCCACAGAAAAAGCACCGGCUAACUCCGUGCCAGCAGCCGCGGUAA
rnacentral:rRNA from 1 species